rnacentral:rRNA from 1 species
GAUGAACGCUGGCGGCGUGCCUAAUACAUGCAAGUCGAGCGAACGGACGAGAAGCUUGCUUCUCUGAUGUUAGCGGCGGACGGGUGAGUAACACGUGGAUAACCUACCUAUAAGACUUGGAUAACUUCGGGAAACCGGAGCUAAUACCGGAUAAUAUUUUGAACCGCAUGGUUCAAAAGUGAAAGACGGUCUUGCUGUCACUUAUAGAUGGAUCCGCGCUGCAUUAGCUAGUUGGUAAGGUAACGGCUUACCAAGGCAACGAUGCAUAGCCGACCUGAGAGGGGGAUCGGCCACACUGGAACUGAGACACGGUCCAGACUCCUACGGGAGGCAGCAGUAGGGAAUCUUCCGCAAUGGGCGAAAGCCUGACGGAGCAACGCCGCGUGAGUGAUGAAGGUCUUCGGAUCGUAAAACUCUGUUAUUAGGGAAGAACAUAUGUGUAAGUAACUGUGCACAUCUUGACGGUACCUAAUCAGAAAGCCACGGCUAACUACGUG